AACCUAGUGGCGAACGGGUGAGUAACACGUAGGUAACCUACCCCAGAGAGGGGGAUAACCACUGGAAACGGUGGCUAAUACCGCAUACGCUCUACCGAUGAGGUGGAGGAAAGGUGAAAACCGCUCUGGGAUGGGCCUGCGGCCUAUCAGCUAGUUGGUGGGGUAAUGGCCCACCAAGGCGACGACGGGUAGGGGGCGUGAGAGCGUGGUCCCCCACACGGGCACUGAGACACGGGCCCGACUCCUACGGGAGGCAGCAGUAAGGAAUAUUGCGCAAUGGGGGAAACCCUGACGCAGCGACGCCGCGUGGGCGAAGAAGGCCUUCGGGUUGUAAAGCCCUUUUCCCGCUGACGAGAAAGGACGGUAGGCGGGGAACAAGUCACGGCUAACUACGUGCCAGCAGCCGCGGUAAAACGUAGGUGGCAAGCGUUAUCCGGAAUUACUGGGCGUAAAGGGCGUUUAGGCGGACGUGUAAGUCGUGCGUGAAAGCUCCCGGCUCAACUGGGAGAGGCCGUACGAUACUGCGCAUCUUGAGGGUCGGAGAGGGACGUGGAAUUCCCGGUGUAGCGGUGAAAUGCGUAGAGACCGGGAGGAACACCAGUGGCGAAGGCGGCGUCCUGGCCGACACCUGACGCUGAAGCGCGAAAGCGUGGGGAGCAAACGGGAUUAGAUACCCCGGUAGUCCACGCCGU
rnacentral:rRNA from 1 species